CACGGAGCAAAGCUUCCUCGCUCGGGCAUCUCCAAGGUUUCCGCCUGGGAGCGCAUCCACGGCACUGUCAACUUCGGCACGGCAUCGCGAAAGACAGACACCAGCCACCCGCGACAGGAGACACUGGCGCCGGAGAACAUGCUGGCGUACUUUGUGCCGCGCAGUUAAACAGCAAAAGGCACUGAAUGAAGAGCGCGCGCACACCCGAGCGACGGAGCAAAACAAGGACGAGCGCAGAGGCUUCGGGAACACUUCAGGAGGAGCACCUGGCUAUACUCAAAAGAUCUCAUUAGACUGUGAUGAGCGUCAUCAUCUUCCACAGACUCAAGGAUGUUACCCAAUACCUAUUUCUGUCAACAAUGUGUCCUUCUCCGUGAUCAGUAAUUGCUUUUUAAGAAAACAGACUAAGAACAACUUACACAGUGACUUGGAGUAAUGUAUUGUGUGAUCAUUGAUAUGGUGAAUUUUCUUUGAGAUGUUUAUUAUUGGAAGCAGUUACCAGUGUCAGCGCUUUGUUUUCCAACAAGAUGAAGUCUUCAGGACUUUACACUAUCCAG
ensembl:lncRNA